rnacentral:rRNA from 1 species
GAAGCAGCUUGCUGCUUCGCUGACGAGUGGCGGAGGGAGAGUAAUGUCUGGGAAACUGCCUGAUGGAGGGGGAUAACUACUGGAAACGGUAGCUAAUACCGCAUAACGUCGCAAGACCAAAGAGGGGGACCUUCGGGCCUCUUGCCAUCGGAUGUGCCCAGAUGGGAUUAGCUAGUAGGUGGGGUAACGGCUCACCUAGGCGACGAUCCCUAGCUGGUCUGAGAGGAUGACCAGCCACACUGGAACUGAGACACGGUCCAGACUCCUACGGGAGGCAGCAGUGGGGAAUAUUGCACAAUGGGCGCAAGCCUGAUGCAGCCAUGCCGCGUGUAUGAAGAAGGCCUUCGGGUUGUAAAGUACUUUCAGCGGGGAGGAAGGCGAUAAGGUUAAUAACCUUGUCGAUUGACGUUACCCGCAGAAGAAGCACCGGCUAACUCCGUGCCAGCAGCCGCGGUAAUACGGAGGGUGCAAGCGUUAAUCGGAAUUACUGGGCGUAAAGCGCACGCAGGCGGUCUGUCAAGUCGGAUGUGAAAUCCCCGGGCUCAACCUGGGAACUGCAUUCGAAACUGGCAGGCUAGAGUCUUGUAGAGGGGGGGUAGAAUUCCAGGUGUAGCGGUGAAAUGCGUAGAGAUCUGGGAGGAAUACCGGUGGCGAAAGGCC